rnacentral:misc_RNA from 1 species
GAUGAAGAACGUAGCGAAAUGCGAUAAGUAGUGUGAAUUGCAGAAUUCAGUGAAUCAUCGAAUCUUUGAACGCACAUUGCGCCCCUUGGUAUCCCGAGGGGCAUGCCUGUUCGAGCGUCAUUUCACCACUCAAGCCUGGCUUGGUGUUGGGCGACGUCCUCUUUGGGGACGCGCCUCGAAACGCUCGGGGGCGUGGCACCGGCUUUAAGCGUAGCAGAAUCUUUCGCUUUGGAAGUCGGGGCCCCGUCUGCCGGAAGACCUGCUCGCAAGGUUGACCUCGGAUCAGGCAGGGAUACCCGCUGAACUUAAGCAUAUCAAUAAGCGGAGGA